GGGGAGAAGGUUACCAUGAAGUGCUCCACCACUCUAAAAGACCAGGAAGGAAUGUACCUGUAUGUUGGGCUGGACAGAGACAGGGAGGUGCUGUAUUACUACCAGCGUGACUCCAAGCUGACCCCCAGGAAACGCUACUGGGACAGAGUGAAGACUGAGGGACCUGUGGACCAACUGACCAUCACCAUCAGUAACCUGACCACAGAGGACACAGGUGUCUACUGCCAACGAGAAGCCGUGCCCAUCUGGCGUGGAAAGCAUCAUCAUCAUCAUCACCAGCAUCUUGACCACCCUGAUGUGUGCCGUCAUCUUCCUCGUCUGGGUUGCUCCACUGGACGGUUGAUGCUCCUGACACCAGCGUCGCUGCUGAAC
ensembl:lncRNA